UACGUAGGGGGCAAGCGUUGUCUGGAUUUAUUGGGCGUAAAGAGCGUGUAGGCGGCCAAACAGGUCCACUGUGAAAACUCGAGGCUCAACCUCGAGAGGUCGGUGGAAACCGUAUGGCUAGAGUCCGGAAGAGGAGAGUGGAAUUCCCGGUGUAGCGGUGAAAUGCGCAGAUAUCGGGAAGAACACCCGUGGCGAAGGCGGCUCUCUGGGACGGUACUGACGCUGAGACGCGAAAGCGUGGGGAGCGAACAGG
rnacentral:rRNA from 1 species